rnacentral:rRNA from 1 species
UACGUAGGGUGCAAGCGUUUGUCCGGAAUUACUGGGCGUAAAGGGCGCGUAGGCGGUUGGAUAAGUCAGCUGUGAAAACCACGGGCUUAACUCGUGGCCUGCAGUUGAGACUGUCUGGCUUGAGUGUGGCAGAGGGGGGGUGGAAUUCCACGUGUAGCAGUGAAAUGCGUAGAGAUGUGGAGGAACACCGAUGGCGAAGGCGGCAUCCUGGACCGGCAUUGACGCUGAGGAGCGAAAGCCAGGGGAGCAAACGGG